rnacentral:rRNA from 1 species
CAGAGGGGGCAAGCGUUGUUCGGAAUUACGUGGGCGUAAAGGGCGCGUAGGCGGCCUGCUAAGUCGAACGUGAAAUCCCUGGGCUCAACCCAGGAACUGCGUCCGAUACUGGUUGGCUUGAAUCCGGGAGAGGGAUGUGGAAUUCCAGGUGUAGCGGUGAAAUGCGUAGAUAUCUGGAGGAACACCGGUGGCGAAGGCGACAUCCUGGACCGGUAUUGACGCUGAGGCGCGAAAGCCAGGGGAGCAAACGGGAUUAGAUACCCCGGUAGUCCUGGCCCUAAACGAUGAAUGCUUGGUGUGGUGGGUAUCGAUCCCUACCGUACCGAAGCUAACGCAUUAAGCAUUCCGCCUGGGGAGUACGGUCGCAAGGCUG